GACGAACGCUGGCGGCGUGCUUAACACAUGCAAGUCGUACGAGAAAAGGUAGCAAUACCUUGAGUAAAGUGGCGCACGGGUGCGUAACACGUAAGUAACCUGCCUUUAGGUCUGGAAUAAUCCCGCGAAAGCGGGACUAAUACCGGAUGAUGCAGCGGAUCCACAUGGAUAUGUUGUUAAAAUCUAUAUGGUGCCUAAAGAUGGGCUUGCGUCCGAUUAGCUAGNGGUAGGGUAACGGCCUACCAAGGCUGCAAUCGGUAGCUGGUCUGAGAGGAUGAUCAGCCACACUGGAACUGAGACACGGUCCAGACUCCUACGGGAGGCAGCAGUGAGGAAUAUUGGGCAAUGCCCGGAAGGUGACCCAGCAACGCGCGUGGAGGAUGAAUGCCGUAAGGUUGUAAACUCCUGUUAGAGGGGAAGAACAAUCCCGAUCAACUCGGGACAUGACUGUACCCUC
rnacentral:rRNA from 1 species